ACACACGGACACCUUGGGGACACACGGAUGGACGUCCUGGGACCAGGACCCCAAAGGACGCACAUCACAUCUGCAGUGGGAUGGGAUCCUGUGAGCCCACGGGGUGAAUGGGGACGGUGGGGGGGGACCCCAUGGGACUGAGACCCCAAAGGGCACCGACCCCAGUGGGGAUGGGAUCCUAUGGGAUCAGGACCCCAAAGCUGUAAGGGAACGGCAGGGGUGGGUCUCUAUGGGAUCAGGACCCCAAAGGGCUCAAUGGGGUCAGGUCCAUAUGGGAUGAAGACCCCACAGGACAUAUGGGAACGGUGGGGAUGGGUCUCUAUGGGAUCAGGACCCCAAGUGGCUCAGUGGGGUCAGGUCCAUAUGGGAUGAAGACCCCACAGGACAUAUGGGAACGGCGGGGAUAGGUCU
rnacentral:lncRNA from 1 species